AGCUUUAUAGUCAAUACGUAAUAUGAUGUCAGACUGCAAUUCUGAAGUAGCAUAAAUCAUGCUAAAGCUU
rnacentral:tRNA from 1 species